GACGAACGCUGGCGGCGUGCUUAACACAUGCAAGUCGAACGGACAGGCCCUGCUUUUGUGGGGUGCUCGAGUGGCGAACGGGUGAGUUACACGUGAGUAACCUGCCCUUGACUUUGGGAUAACUUCAGGCCACUGGGGCUCAUACCGGAUAGGAGCUCCUGCUGCAUGGUGGGGGUUGGUUAGUUUCGGGGGUUGGGGAUGUACUCGCGGCUUAUCAGCUGGUUGGUGGGGUAGUGGCUUACCAAGGCUUUGACGGGUAGCCGGCCUGAGAGGGGGACCGGCCACAUUGGGACUGGGAUACGGCCCAGACUACAACGGGAGGCAGCGGUGGGGAAUAGUGCACAAUGGGCGGAAGCCUGAUGCAGCAAAGCCGCGUGCGGGAUGACGGGCUGCGGGUUGUAAACCGCAUUCGCCUGAGACGAAGCGUGAGUGACGGUAAUGGGUAAAGAAGCACCGGCUAACUACGUG
rnacentral:rRNA from 1 species